AGCUGGACGUUGUGGAAGGUUUUCUACGAUCAUUACCCAACUUAAAUAUUGAGAUGACAGGAUCACUUUUCAUCUUGAUGUGAAGAUGUCAAUAUACGUGAUUGAAACCAUCUUCUAGUGGCUCUUAUUGGGGAGAAAGAAGUUGCAAAAGCUGCAGAGUUCGUGUUGGAAACGUAUUACACAUUGUGUGAAAGAAGGUAUUGCACAAAAUAUUGAGCCACAAUGAAAUAUCAGAAGUAGUAAAAUGGAGGAGUUUGCAUUUCCAAGACUAUUGUCAAGCAAACAAAAAGAUUCUGUACAAGGAAAACCUCCCACUAGACAGAGAAAAGAAUUUGUUCACACAGGUGAUUUACAUUUUACUGCUUGGGAAGUCGUCAGUGAUUAAGAUGAAUGCGAAGAGUGGAUGUUGUACUUGGCACUGGGAACUUCUUAAACUACCACAAGAAUACAUCAUUGCAGUGCCUGGAAAAAAGUGGGAAGCUUUGAAACAGCAUUUGCCAUCUCCAAAAAGGGUACUGCAUCAAACUGGAGUGCACGGCAUUGCUGACACUUGAUGUACUUCCUCCAGAAGGCAGGAUUCACGGGAACGAAAAUAAAUAUUCUUCAAGCGGCAGUGGCAGACUCUUCGCAGUGACACAAGUGCCGGCUGGCAAUUAUGGUGGUGGUUUUGUCUUGGUUGACUAGUCAUCUUUUUGCUUUCAUUUUAUGUAUGUUCUGAACUUCAGAUUAGAAGUGUGGGAGUCAAAAUCCUUAAUUUCAUUUCCAGCUCCUCUACCAUAUAAAGACUUGGAGAAACACGUAUGGCAGACUGUGAUGGCUGCAGAAGUGGCCCUGUCACCCUGAAUUCGGCAGUGCUGACUUCUGCUUCACUGAAGAUUCAAGGGAAUGUCUCAGACGGUGAUUUUUUAUAGGCUGUGAGAGAAGGCCAGCAUCUUGAAGCUUGCUUAAAUUUUACAGGACAGUUUGGGCAACGUAGGUACAGGCCUUGGAGAGUGCUGUUGUGGAUGGCAAUGAGUGUGACUCAUCUGGCUAUGGAGCUGGAAGUGUAAUAUUGAAGAAAAUAAAUAACAAGACUGAAAAGAGCAUUAAAUGAAGAAAUGAGGCAUGAAUGCGUGAGACAGAGGUUAUUCUACUGCAUCUCCUACUGAGGUACUGGCAUUAACCAACAGUUGCCCACAGGUUACCUGCUGUACAUCUUCAGCAAAAGACUGACAGUCAAAUGCGGUUUAAAGAGUCCCGAUUUGCCUGGUUACUAAAGUGUCAGAGCUCAAAUAGGAAGUAAUAGAUAUAAAUGAGCGAAUUAUGCAUACAAAAAUGGUAAGUGUAGAUCUGAUUAAUCUUUUUACCUGGGAAAAUGAAGAACUUUACAAAGAAGAACUUUAAAAGCACAGAAUUCCCAGUUUUGAAAGGCACUAUGAAAUUUCACUAAGCUCUUUCUAACGAACUCCUUUGAUCAUAUAUAAUGAUUAAAUGGGAGUAAUAAAAAUUUCUGCAUUUUUACGUACAUUACCUGCCCUUUUUCAUUUCCCCCUUUUAUCCCUGAGCUACAAAACAGAAAGUGAAGACCUUCUGACCACUCUAAGACUUGAUCUCUCAGCAGCAGUGUAGGUUACAUCAGCUACAUUAACAAAUCAAGCUUGAAUGCAUUGUCUUUGUCAUAAAAAAAGACCACAUGUAUUCUCAUGGAUUUGGCCUGUUUUCAUUUAUAAAAGUAUAGUAGUUUAGUAAAAUGGUGGGUCUUGUUCCUAAAUGUGUUCAUACUUGAAGUUUUCUCCCUUGACAAAUAUUCACCCAAUACAGAAAAUGUUCUUUCUUGUGUUUAGUAAGAAAAACCAUCUGUCUAAUUAGUGGUAAACAAACCUUGUGAUAGAAGGUAGUGCGUACAAAUCAGAACUGAUCCAAAUAUUGACAUUUGAAAGUUGCAGUUUGUCUCUUCCAACAAAAGAUGGCAGUGCUCAGUUUUCCUCCAAACUCUAAUGUCCAUUCAUUGAAAUUAAAUGCUUCUAAAACAGUUCCCUUGUCUUUGUCUACAAUCUGCACACUGAGAUCAGUAUUCGUUAUUACUGAUUAGCUAACAAGUUGGCCUUAGAUAUUAAAAAAGCUAGAUAUGUUUCCACAAGAAGUCCCAACUGGAAAAACUAAUGCAAUUAAUUCACAAAAUACUCUUGCAAAUUUAGCGGCAUUGAAAACCUCUUGGAGUCCAAUUCAGAGUUCAUCACUAUUUCAUAGGACCAGUUUUUCAACAAAUAGGAAAUGAAAGGAAAAUUAUCUCCAAGAUUCUCUCAGAUCUGUCUUUUUCUAUGCAAUAUACAUUAACCAUUUAGUUAUUAAUUAAAGUGCCUAUUGAUCAAAGUAUGCGUUUUCCUUGAAAGUUUCUGCUUAUAUUAUUUAUACCUGUACCCAAAAGCAGAAAUUCUACAUAAAUUUGAACUUUUCCAUUGCCUUAUAUCAGAUUAGAUAACUCUGUACCUUAGGGGUUUUUCUAGAUUUAGCUAUGAGUAAUAAUCCCAUGGCUAGCAUAUAUUAAAAAUUAGGAAGACAAUAAGAAAUUAAUAGAAGUUAUUUAGUGUGUGAUACAAUAUAGCCCCCCCAGAAAAACUACAAAAUAAAUUAAAACUUCUACCUGUUGCCAAGACUGAAACGUAAAAAGAAAACAGAAGCCAAGCCCAUAAUGGUAAUAAUCAUAGUAAUAAUAAUAUGUGUCAGAAACCAAUUUAGAUGACACUAAAGGUAUAAUGUAAAAAUACACAAAUCUAUACUUUUUUUGUCAUCAUCUUAUUCUAAUAGGAUGUAAAGUGAAGUGUCAAAUACAUAAUGACAACUGAAAUUUCCCACAGCACCCAGAGGACUUUAUGUUAAGUGGAACCAAAGAGGUUCAGAUGGUUUGGAUCAAGAGUACGAUUUACUUCAUUUUGGGGGGAUUUGUUUCCUGUCAUUUUUUUGUGAAGCGGCAGUGGGGAAAUUUCUCCAUCUCAGAAACUGUAUUUCAGGUAUUUUUUCAGCCUUCUUUCUGGGUUUGUUUCCUAAAAAUACUGUCCCUGCUCUUUUUCAAUCCUUUCCAUAGCUCCCUCCACAAAUAAAGAUUUUAUAUAAAAAGAAAAACUGCUAAGCAAACAUUUCUACAUUUUCUAAGAAGCUUCUUCAACAUGAGCACAAUGUUUUUUGGAAAGGAAGAGUAUGAUCUUGUUCUGACCAUGACAAACCAGUCAGAGCACAGUGAAACCCAAGAACAUCCCCCACAGUUCUGCUGGUGCCACUUUGAAUACGAGCAGCAGCAGUAACAGGGAAUCCUAAGUCAAAACAAAACAAAAGCAACAACAACAACCCCAAACCAAACAACAACAACACAUAUUCAAACAAAAGCUGUAAUUCAAACAAAAAAGUUGGUGAUUGUAACAAUUCAAACAUUAUUGAAACAAUGCAAUUUCAGAACAGCGCUACUGACCUUUUUUUUUUGUCAGAGGAGUCCCUGGUUCUUAUAUGUAGCUCACUAGGUCAGUCCUACCAGCAAAUAGGACAAUGAUACAUUGAUAAACACGCAUCAUUAUCCUCACUAGGUAAAAAGAAAACGGUGUUUUUAUAGGUCUGGGCACAUUUGCACAGCAAGAAAUCACCUUACCUCAUUAAAAAUACAUUAGUGCUUUGUUUAUGUGUUCCGAAAGAGGGUUUUUAAUGAGAUUCAUCUUAAAUUACUGUGUUAAGAGAAGCAGCAUAUUAGAUAGUAUACACAUAUUUCAGUCAUAAAUCCAAUGCAGUAAAUUAAAAAAAAAAAAAAAA